GACGAACGCUGGCGGCGUGCUUAACACAUGCAAGUCGAACGGUGAAGCGCCUUCCUUUUUGGUGGGUGUGGAUGAGUGGCGAACGGGUGAGUAACACGUGAGUAACCUGCCCCCUUCUUCUGGAUAACCGCAUGAAAGUGUGGCUAAUACGGGAUAUUCUGGGUCUGUCGCAUGAUGGGUCUGGGAAAGAUAUUGUUUCGGUGGGGGAUGGGCUCGCGGCCUAUCAGCUUGUUGGUGGGGUGAUGGCCUACCAAGGCGGUGACGGGUAGCCGGCCUGAGAGGGUGGACGGUCACACUGGGACUGAGACACGGCCCAGACUCCUACGGGAGGCAGCAGUGGGGAAUAUUGCACAAUGGGCGCAAGCCUGAUGCAGCGACGCCGCGUGAGGGAUGGAGGCCUUCGGGUUGUGAACCUCUUUCGGCAGUGAAGCAGGCCUGCCUCGUUUGUGGGUGGGUUGACGGUAGCUGGAUAAGAAGCGCCGGCUAACUACGUG
rnacentral:rRNA from 1 species